AAAGUGCUGGGAUUACAGGCUUGAGCCACCGCGCCCGGCCCGGUUUUUACUUUUUUAGCAGGUACGAGAAUACAGGGACAAAGUUUCUCCAUAUCAAAAGGCAAAACGCAGGUCCCAGACUCAUGAGUUUCUGAAAACUUAAAUUUUAGAUCUCUUGAUGUGGUUCAGCACUUGGAGCAAAAUGUCCCAGAAAACUUCUUGAGUGCUUUCCAGGGAGGUCUUGUUAGCAAAUCAAGGUCUUCUUGAGUCCCAUGUUUACAAAGGACCCUGCUCACAGAAUGAUCUCAUCUGUUUUAUCUUCAGUAGUACCUUUGCUUUGCUGCAUGGCCCCAGAUCAUACCAACAAGCCAUCAACAUAACAGAGAGUAAAAUAAUCUUAAAGAGUUCAGAGUUUGGGGUUAUUUCCUGGCACAAACAAGCUGAUCAUUGGAGCUCUGCAGAAAAGGACAAAUGGAAACUGUUAAUUGCUCACUAUGAUUAUGACUUACCAUGCUAUUUAUCUCAUUUCGUCCCUCCUUGAGGGAAGAAUAUAUUCCAGCUAUAAAAGAUAAACAGACACCAUCCAUUCUUAUGUUCUCUUUUGUUCAGAUUUAUUCUAAAUAAAAAGACAGUUAUUGGCCUAGAGGUGAGCUUGUCAACCUACAAAACAUGCAAGCCUGAUGUGUUGAUGGAAUAAAAUGAUGUAAAUUGACUCAAAAGUGCAGAUUGAGUAUUGAAUUGGUCAGUAGAAUAUGAGGUUCAUCAUAAAAACCUGAGACCCAUUCCAGUCAGUGUGAACUCUGUCUUAUAUUGGUGGUGGGGUUUUGAAGGAGUGAUUACUUUGUAGAUAGUUAUGAGUUUUAUCCUUUAGAACAUAGUUUUAGAAUUUAGUGAUAAUGAAGAGCAUUGUUUCUUAAAUCUGAUGUUCUUUAGAAUCAACCUGAAAUCAUGUUUAAAGAAAGACUUUUAUUCAGUAGAUCUGGGGUUGAUUCUAAGAAUCUGCAUUUCUAGCAAGCAACCAGGAGAUAAUUAUGCUGUUGUUGCAGAGACACACUUUGAGUAACAAGGAUAUAGACAAUAUAUUGUAAAGAGUGAUUCUGGGUAAAGGAGAUAAUUUAGAGAGUGCUUACAGUUGCCCAGAAGAGAAUGCCUGGUAUAAACUAAGGCAAUGGGAAGACA
rnacentral:lncRNA from 1 species